UCUCCCGCAUUCCUCUUCUCACAGCCGCCAGGCCCCUCCCCAAUCCUCUCUCUCUUCCUGCCGCCUCCGCCGCACUUCCGUGCUGACCACGAUGGCUCACCCAGAGGGCUCGCCAAUGUUGCUCUUCCACCUCCCGCAUGGGCGCAUGCAUCGCGGCGAAAUCGUACUCUUCCUCCCCCUCAUGACGCGGCGAGCGGUGCUUCGAUGGCGAGUGGCGACGCAAGUGCGAGAUUCGUCGUCCACUAGCUUGCCUCCGAGGUUUCCCCCUUCCGUCACCGCCCCCUCAAUCUGCCACCAUUUCUAGGAAAGGAGCCCGUUGUCUCAUGGAAAAGUGCUCCAAGGGGAGGGAUCGGUGGGCUCCUCCAUCCGUUGUGUCACUAGGAGUCAGCGGUGCAGCGCAUGAGGCCUCCAUGUUGGGAGCGGUGGCGGCGGCAGCCAAGAACUCCAGGCCCCUCCACCUCCAAGGCGAGCAUGGUGACCAUAGCUGCUCCAACAUGUUGUAUCUUCCACAAUGCACGCCUCACUGGAUCAAAGCAGACCCAGCUGCUCUGCAGUCAGAUCGAGGAGAUCCAACCAUGUCUGCUGCAGAUCUAGCUACCCGUGUAGUGGAACAGGCCCAUCGUGCUGGUGGAGGCCAUGGGUUAGUUCGCCAACUCUCCGCCUCUCCAUCCAGCCUCCUAUUCAAGCUGGUAAAAGUAUGAAUUUAGAUCCUGGAGUUUUCAUUUAUGUUGAUAGCGUGUGGACUGUGAAGCCUAAAUAUGUAUUUAUCCUACGACUCCCUCCAUCAGCUGUCCUAAGUUUUCUUUUAAGUUCUAUACAGGAAAAAAACUAAUAUGUAUGACACAAUUAGCAUAGUUAGAUAUAAUAUGAAAUACAUUUAUGCUAUACUUUUUUGAGGACUUUAUAGGAAAAAAUACUAAUAUUUAUGACAUAAAAUUACUAUAUGUAGAUAUAACAUGAAAUAUAUUUUUAUCUUGCACUUUUUUGGGUGUCAGGCUUAGCAUGGCGCUAACCAUGAGUGCUGCUGCUAACUGUAUAGUUAAGGACAGCCCUUCCUUUGCUACUUUGUGGAAUUAAAAGGGCAAAGUGCAUGAUAAUGAGACAUGCACACUAGGCUAGCUGCCUCUGCCUAGGCCAGCAAAUGUUGGUGUCUUUUGUUAAACAAAUUUGUUACGCCGCAUUUGUCCCCCUCAUUCUAAACUUCAUUUUUUAUUGGCUGAUGUGAGUUUAUUCUUUAGUCCUUGAACUUGCUCCAUGAUUUGGGACCAAUAUCCAUAAUGCACUUGCUCCAUGAAGUAGCUAUCGCUACUUUGUGAUGUUGCUCCACAUAAUAGCUCUAUGAAACAAGUGUAGGAAUUUACAGGUCACUUUCCUUCUUUCUCUACUUUAAUCAAAUUAGUUAUAAUGAGUGAUAAACUUGACAGGAGUGUAGGAUAUAUGAUGCUUUUGGGACCCUUUCAGUACAUUCCCACUGAUACUUUAGUUGUUGAGUUAUGCAAUUUUAAAACAAACUCUUUACAGCUAUAUCCAAAAUUCGAAUAUUCAUUGUAGGUUAAUACCAAUUCACAAUGUUUUACUUUUACCCAUCACCAUGGUGGUAGUGGUAAUUCUUGACAGUUGCAAGGGACUCCCAAAUUUAGAUUAAAGCAAGUAGUGAUGGUCUUGGGAAUAGAUAUUGAGUAUAUUUGUGGCAGCACCUUUUCUUUGUAAGUGGUUUGCAAAAUGGCCGGGAUAUAGGUAUGGUUACAAACAUUAGCAUUGACCUCCAUUUAGUUGCACAACUUUGAUAUAAAGUUCUAAUUGGUUGAUUUUAGUUUGAUGUUUCUGCACCAAUAUUGAGUUAGUUGUGGUUGAUGACUUGAAGUCCUUUUGUAUCCAUUGUUGAUGUUUUACCAUUUAUGAUAAAUUCACCAAGGUUAACAUGGUCGAAUAAAAUGGGAAUGUCAUAGUUUCCUUCUUAUGUUGUACUCUGAUCCACUUUGUGUUUGAAUGUGUCUCUAACACCCUUUUCCAUUUAUAGAGCAGCCAAAGAUACCAAAUCAAUAGAGGACGGUUGCAUUGCUUAAUCAAUGGUAUGGCUAAAUAGAAACAUAUGGGCGACUGAGAUGGACAUACAAACCAUGCUAUCUGCACUAUCAGUACACUGAAGAUAUGUGGUUGCUUCAUAAUUUGUACUCUGCUUUGAUUGGUUCGAUAUGCCAGAUCAUAAUUAGAUGAUGAUGGCAAUGAUCGUAUAUAUAAAAUGAUUGUAUUUGAAUCUUAGUGUUACCAUCUAAUUAUAAAAGCAAUACUCAUUGGACA